rnacentral:rRNA from 1 species
CAACAGAGAGAAGCAAUACCGCGAGGUGGAGCAAAAACUUCAAAAAUAGGUCUCAGUUCGGACUGUAGGCUGCAACUCGCCUACACGAAGUUGGAAUUGCUAGUAAUCGUGGAUCAGCAUGCCACGGUGAAUACGUUCCCGGGUCUUGUACACACCGCCCGUCACACCAUGGGAGCUGGUAACACCCGAAGUCAGUAGUCUAACCGCAAGGAGGACGCUGCCGAAGGUGGGAUUAGCGACUGGGGUGAAGUCGUAACAAGGUAAC